rnacentral:rRNA from 1 species
ACUCCUACGGGAGGCAGCAGUGGGGAAUAUUGCACAAUGGGCGCAAGCCUGAUGCAGCCAUGCCGCGUGUAUGAAGAAGGCCUUCGGGUUGAUAAAGUACUUUCAGUCAGUGAGGAAGGUGGAGUCGUUAAUAGCGGCCUUCAUUUUGACGUUUAGCUGCAGAAGAAGCACCGGCUAACUCCGUGCCAGCAGCCGCGGUAAUACGGAGGGUGCGAGCGUUAAUCGGAAUUACUGGGCGUAAAGCGCAUGCAGGCGGCCUGUUAAGUCAGAUGUGAAAGCCCGGGGCUUAACCUCGGAAUUGCAUUUGAAACUGGCAGGCUAGAGUCUUGUAGAGGGGGGUAGAAUUUCAGGUGUAGCGGUGAAAUGCGUAGAGAUCUGAAGGAAUACCAGUGGCGAAGGCGGCCCCCCUGGACAAAGACUGACGCUCAGAUGCGAAAGCGUGGGGAGCAAACAGGAUUAGAUACCCUGGUAGGAUA